AGGAUCCGAGCGUUAUCCGGAUUUAUUGGGUUUAAAGGGUGCGUAGGCGGCCUAUUAAGUCAGGGGUGAAAGACGGUAGCUUAACUAUCGCAGUGCCUUUGAUACUGAUAGGCUUGAAUGUACUUGAGGUAGGCGGAAUGUGACAAGUAGCGGUGAAAUGCAUAGAUAUGUCACAGAACACCAAUUGCGAAGGCAGCUUACUAAAGUAUGAUUGACGCUGAGGCACGAAAGCGUGGGGAUCAAACAGG
rnacentral:rRNA from 1 species